GACGUAGGGGGCGAGCGUUGCCCGGAAUUACUGGGUGUAAAGGGGACGUAGGUGGGUGAUCAAGUCAUCUGUGAAAAGAUUGCUCAACGAUCGGCUUGCGGAUGAAACUGAUCAUCUUGGGCGUAGCAGAGGUAGACGGAAUUACCUGAGUAGGGGUGAAAUCCGCAGAUACAGGUAAGAACGCCGGUGAAGAAGUUGGUCUACUGGGCUACAGCUGACGCUGAGGUGCGAGAGCGUGGGGAGCAAACAGG
rnacentral:rRNA from 1 species